ACUCCUACGGGAGGCAGCAGUGGGGAAUUUUGGACAAUGGGCGCAAGCCUGAUCCAGCAAUGCCGCGUGCAGGAUGAAGGCCUUCGGUUGUAAACUGCUUUUGUACGGAACGAAAAGACCCUGGGUUAAUACCCUGGGGUCAUGACGGUACCGUAAGAAUAAGCACCGGUUAACUACGUGCCAGCAGCCGCGGUAAUACGUAGGGGUGCGAGCGUUAAUCGGAAUUACUGGGCGUAAAGCGUGCGCAGGCGGUUUUGUAAGACAGAGGUGAAAUCCCCGGGGCUCAACCUGGGGAACUGCCUUUGUGACUGCAAGGCUAGAGUACGGCAGAGGGGGAUGGAAUUCCGCGUGUAGCAGUGAAAUGCGUAGAUAUGCGGAGGAACACCGAUGGCGAAGGCAAUCCCCUGGGCCUGUACUGACGCUCAUGCACGAAAGCGUGGGGAGCAAACAGGAUUAGAUACCCUGGUAGGAUAGCG
rnacentral:rRNA from 1 species